GGGGCUGUCAUGGUUUCGACGGGGGUCUUGAAACGCGAUAAGCGGGCGGAUGCGCCUACCAUCCUUAAAAUGGGCAUCUUUAUAAAUUAAAGAACAACAACUACGAAUUGCAGGCGGCUUAGUGCCGCCCGUCCGAGCCGGGUAAGUCCACGCACCGGCCGGGCGUGACAAAGUGGAGAACGUGUGUGCGCUGAGCUUGGACGCGCGCCAUGAAUAUAAAGCUACCGAGUGCCUGCGGCGUGACGGCUUGCGGGGUAUGAGGGAACGAUUCGGGUAGCCGCUCGCGGCUGCGCCGAGUGAGAUAACCGUCUGCGCCCGGAGAAAAUUGCGCGGAGGGGCUUUCGGACGCGGGUUCGAUUCCCGCCAGCUCCACCA
rnacentral:tmRNA from 1 species